CCGUGCUAGAUGGGGAGAUGGCGGUGCCCUGUAACCUGCAAUCCGCCUUAGCGGGGUUGAAUUCCUUUCUAGCGGUACGGUUUAUGUAAGGUUAGACUUAUACAAGCGGUGAUGACUAUCUGGGUCUUCGCAACAGAAAUCUAUGAACUUGGUCAGGCCUGGAAGGGAGCAGCCAUAAGUAGAAUCUUCUGUGUGCCGAGGGUAGCCCUGAUUGAGCUGGCUAUAUGAGUAGCACUUAUGUUACCGUAUCAAAGAAAGGUGCACGG
rnacentral:SRP_RNA from 1 species